rnacentral:rRNA from 1 species
CACGGGAUCCCAGUAACGGCGAGCGAGCGGGAACAGUUCGCGCCUCCAUCUCCGGCGCAGUCGCCGGCGAAUUGUGGCCGCCAGAGGUGUCCGUCGUCGAGACUCCCUGCUCCGAAGUUGACCUGGAACGGCACGUCAGAGAGGGUGAGAGCCCCGUGCGCGGAGCAGGGCGUCGCGGCUUUGGUCGCCUUCGCAGAGUCGGGUUGUUUGGGACUGCAGCCCAAGUGGGUGGUAAACUCCAUCUAAAACUAAAUACUGGCACGAGACCGAUAGCGAACAAGUACCGUGAGGGAAAGGUGAAAAGCACUUUGAAAAGAGAGUCCAAGAGACCGCGAAACCGUUGGGAGGGAAGCGAAUGCGAGCGCGACGGCUCCGUGCGGGUUCAGGGAGGCGACGUGCCCCGGUCGCGGGCGCCUAAGGGCAAACGUGGUCGAGGCUAGUCUCCGUUCCGCUCUCCCGCGCUGGAGCUCCCAGCGUCGCUGGCGUCCACCGCCGUCGGCUUCGAGGAAGGUGACCGUGGCUCGCCCUCGGGCGUCUACGGAGCUUACAGCCGAUGUCGGCGCGAGUGGAGGCGAGCGUGGUGAACGCGACGCUUCGCGUGGCAGUGCGGGCCUCUCCCCUCGUGGGAGCGGGCCGGGUCUCUUCUGGGCGGGCGGGCCAGCCGGCGAGGGACUGCUCGACAGUGCCACGUUGUGCUCGGUCUGGUCGUCCGGGAGGUGGACGACGACUCGCGCUGCAGUCGCUGGGACCACUGGCGCUCGCAUCCGACCCGUCUUGAAACACGGACCAAGGAGUGUAGCAUGCGCGCGAGUGUUCGGGGUGGGAGCCCCCGGAGCGUAAUGAAGGUGAAGGCGGUCUCUACGAUCGCCGAGGCGCGGGCCCGUCUCUGGCGGGCGCAGCGUCGACCGAUUCCGACCCACGCCGUGGCGGGAUUCGAGUUGGAGCGUGCAUGUUGCGACCCGAAAGAUGGUGAACUAUGCCCGAGUAGGGCGAAGCCAGAGGAAACUCUGGUGGAGGCUCGCAGCGGUUCUGACGUGCAAAUCGAUCGUCAAACUUGGGUAUAGGGGCGAAAGACCAAUCGAAC